UGAGGAAUAUUGGUCAAUGGGCGAGAGCCUGAACCAGCCAAGUCGCGUGAAGGAAGAAGGUUCUAUGGAUUGUAAACUUCUUUUGUAAGGGAAUAAAGUGCGCUACGUGUAGUGUAUUGUAUGUACUUUACGAAUAAGGAUCGGCUAACUCCGUGCCAGCAGCCGCGGUAAUACGGAGGAUCCGAGCGUUAUCCGGAUUUAUUGGGUUUAAAGGGUGCGUAGGCGGACUGAUAAGUCAGCGGUGAAAGUUUGCAGCUUAACUGUAAAAUUGCCGUUGAAACUGUUAGUCUUGAGUGUAAAUGAGGUAGGCGGAAUGUGUUGUGUAGCGGUGAAAUGCUUAGAUAUAACACAGAACACCAAUUGCGAAGGCAGCUUACUAGAAUACAACUGACGCUGAGGCACGAAAGCGUGGGGAUCAAACA
rnacentral:rRNA from 1 species